AACUUGAUACGACAAUGACCAACCGAAUAUGGCUAACCAGUUAUUAUAAUAAUAGGCCGUCAGCCAAAUCCUGGAGGCACUUCGGGAUCUUCAUCAUUAACAUCAUCUGGAUUCUUCUCUUUCGUGCCUAUAGCAAAGCCAGGUGGUGCACCCGCAUCCAUUUUGUCGGGCACUAAGUCAAGUGAGCUAUCGGUGUCCGACUUGGUAUAUGUUUCUCUUGUUUUUCCAUCAGUGGGAACAGGAAGUCCCGACUCCUCUUUGGACGAUUCAUUUUGUUCACUUUUGCUGUUCUGAUUUGAACUUAAUCGGGCAAAACCAGGAGGUUUUUUUGGCUCCGCAUCAGCAGAAACUGUGGCAUCAAUGCCACUGCCUGAAACAGCAAUAUGUCCAUUACUUUCAACUCCAUUCCGAGCCGGCUGCAAGUCUGAAUGAGAGGCUGAUUCACCAGCUUCAUUUAGCUGUGGGUUCAAUAACUUAUUGUAAACUGAUUGAAUUGUUUGGGUUAUCUCUGUCUGAAUGCCAUCAACCGUUCUGAUUGUAUUCCACAAUUCAUCGGAAAUUUUACCCAUGACUUUGUCCCUAUAGUUCAUGACUAAAACAAGUUAAACUUGCGGAACUCUAUAUACGGUACCAGAUUAACGUUUAAUACCACUAGUUGAAACACACCGUCAUAAUUCACUGUUCAAAUAAAAGAGAAAAACAACUACAAGCCAUCGAGCUUUCAUUGAUUCAUCACUUAAACCCUUUAAAAUUCUCCUCACUUGACCCCCGCCAUCCUCCUAACCAACCGCUCGAGUACCAACAAUUUUGCUACACUCAUCCAAAGACCUUUUCACUUCUUGAAAUAACCCACAGACAAUCAUAUUUUGAAUAUCAUGAAAAUGGAAAAGGAUUAAAAACGACCUUUGGGGAACAAAAACGGGUCAUAAAAUAGACACAAGAUGAUAAAAAUAACAUAUUCUGAAGUGGGUGAAUGUGCAACAGGAAAUAUUUGUCAUUGCUUAGCUUUUCUCAUAUUUGUUUCUCUUCACGCUUCCCGGAAAAAUUAACGGUAUUUCCACAUCCCACAAUAUAGACAAUAUUUUUGAUAGGUGUCCAAUAAAACAAAAGCGCAUGUAUCUAGUUCAAGCAUUCAAGCAUGUAUUAUCGUAUUUGCUAUCUAAACACAAGUUUGGAGGCAAAGGUUGUUCUAAAGGUAAUAGAAUCAAAAGGAUCUAAGCUAGUGAAAGAAAAAGACGAUACAAAAACAACCUAGUUGACGAUCCCCAUUAAACGAACAGGGAGAUGGGGGUUGAGAGCUAAGGAAGGAAUUCACAGAGUUGUUUAUUAGUUGCUCGGACUCUUCAAAAAUGUAUCUAGUUCAAGCAUUCAAGCAUGUAUUAUCGUAUUUGCUAUCUAAACACAAGUUUGGAGGCCAAGGUUGUUCUAACAGUAAUAGAAUCAAAAGGAUCUAAGCUAGUGAAAGAAAAAGACGAUACAAAAACAACCUAGUUGACGAUCCCCGUUAAAAGAAUGGGGAGAUGGGGGUUGAGAGCUAAGGAAGGAAUUCACAGAGUUGUUUAUUAGUUGCUCGGACUCUUCAAAAAUGUCUUCGGGUGCGUGUCAGAUCCUCCAAAUAUAGUAUAUUUUUGAAGGAUCCGACACGGGUGCGGCAACAUUUUUGGAGAGUCCGAGGAACUUAUGCAGGUGCUUCCGGUGUCGUGAAGAGAAAAAAUCGAAAAGAAUGGGAGAAGGUUGAAUACAUGACUUACCCAACUUCUUGAAAUAUAGCAUCUGACAGUUGCCUCGGUCUCAUAUUUUCUGCACCUGGACGGUUAAGCGCAGCUGAUUCCUUCACUGUGGCUAUUAUAUUUUUUCGCAACUCUUCCUGGAAAACAAACACAAUUGUCACACAACUGGAGCAUAUAUAAACUUAAAAGCAUAAUGCGUCGUGCUUUUCCUUUUGUUUAUCUGAAGACAAAGUAAAAAUAUAACAACAACAACAACAUACCCAGUGUAUUCCCACAUAGUGGGGUCUGAGGAUGGGGAGGGUAGAGUGUACGCAGACCAUACCACUACCACGGGUGAAGUAAAUAGAUUGUUUCCAAUAGACCCCCGGCUUAGGAUCGAUAACAGUAUAGCAAUCACAAAACAUAAAUGCGUAUAGACUAGUACAGAAUGCAAAAUAAACUAACACCGCUAUCCUCAAAAUAAUACUACAGCCACAAGAUAAUACUAAAAAACUCUCUAUCCGAAAUCAUAGACAUCACUCAACACCACGAACAAGAAACUUCAAACACAAACAAAGAACGCUCCCCUACUGUAACCGACACACUCCCACCCCCUAACCCUCUAACCUAAUCCGCGUCCUCCACAUUUUUCUAUCAAGGGUCAUGUCCUCCGUAAACUGUAACUGCUCCAUAUCAUGCUUAAUCACCUCCCUCCAAUAUUUCUUCGGCCUAACUCUCCCCCGCCCAAAACCAUCCAUUGCCAGUGAUAAACAAUAUCACUAAUGACGGACAAAUCCAUCUACAUAGUGAUGCAACAAGAAGGUUCAUUCCCUAGGGCCAGUGGUGCAUGGUUCAAACACGGUGGAUAGUGAAACUGCCCCUCUACCCUUCACUUAAAUACAAGGCUUUUGUCUGCAGCAGAUUCAAACCUGUAACAGCGGCUAACUCAACAUAAAAUUGUCAUUUAACAUCAAAGUUACAGUAAUUUCAUUUUUUUAUCAGCGAAGGUUUUCACUGAUAAUUAACAAGGCCAAGUUGACCGUAAGAGAUACUGCAUGUAAUGACGUUACAGUAGCUUCAUAUACUAAAAGAGAACAUUAUAUAAAUACUUGAUUUGAAAAUCUGAUUGAAAACUUUCAUCAUCUGCCUUAACGCGUUAGAGUUAUCCUCCUUUCAAGGCACAGCUUGGUGAAGUUGACGAACACUACACAAUUUUAAACAAUCUCAUGCAUCAACAAGAAAAACAAACAUAUAAGAACAACUAUGUUACCUCACCUCAAAACAAAAGAAGUUUAUAGAUAGUUCUCUUUUCUAAUAAUUAAAUAAAUUAACUGUCUUCUCAAACUCUUCUAGUAAGUAAAUAAUCACUAAACUUUAAAACUAAAAAUAGAUCAUUUACAACACUAUAACAAAGUUAAACGUGCAUCACUUUGAUCUUAUUGUAUACAGAGAUAAACCGAAGGACGACAAAUAUGUUUUUAACUUUAUCAUGAAGAUACGUCCUUUCUUCUCAAGUUUUCUAUGAGAAAAUAAGUAGUUAAAUCAGGAGGGAAAAUUUCCUAAAUGAAUUUAUUAUAAUCAGGGUGACGAUUUUUUGUUGAUGAAGCUAGGGCAAGAAAGGUAUCUAAUGCUUCAGAAACCGGUAGAGUAACUUCCUCUGCCCGUUUGCCCACCCCAAAUCCUCGUGCCUCUAUACUAGGAAGCAUGAACAUCAAAUUGCAUGCUGCCUACACUUUUAACAAUCAACUUUACACAGCACUGAUUCAUAAACUUUACACAAUCAACUUUACACAGCACUGAUUCAUAAACUUUACACAAUCAACUUUACACAGCACUGAUUCAUAAACUUUACACAAUCAACUUUACACAGCACUGAUUCAUAUACGACAAUCAUACAUAUGAUCUCUACUAAUAUCUUUAAUAUUUGGACUAUUGGAACCACAUGUUUGGGGGGUCUAUCAGAAACAGCUUCUCUACUUCAUCUGAGGUAGUGGUAUGAGGUAGUGGUAUGGACUGCAUACAUUUUACCCUCCCCAGACCCCACUUUGUGGGAAUAUACUGAGUAUGUUGUUGUUGUUGUAUUUUUUUUGUGAGAAAGGUAACUUGAUUAUAAACAAAGGACAAACUCCAUGAGUAGUCAUGGACCAUGGUGUUUGAAUGGGCAACUAUUUUAAGGACGGAAAAAGAAUUUAAAGAGAAAAGGAAGUGCUAUUUCUCCUACUUAUGAUUCAACAUUUAGCUCGGUCUAUUCUAGAUGUCUUUUUAACAUCAGUGGCAUCAGCUGAAGCUUGCACCGAAUUGCUUACCUGUGGAACUCAUUUACCCCGACCCUGCACAUGCACCAAUGCACCUUACCCUUUCACCUCUAAGAGAAACUUACUGGGAUCGAAAAUACGCAGACAUUUGUGUGUGUAAAAAGGACAGCCCGGUGCACUAAAGCUCCUGCUAUGCGCAGGGUCCAGGGAAGGGCCCCACUACAAGGGUGUAGUGUACGCAGUCUUACCUUGGGCUUGAACCAGUGACCGGGCAGCAACUUUACCAGUUAAUCCAAGGCUCUCCUUCAAGACAUUUGUGUGUGUGGCUAUAAAUAAUCUCAUUUAAGGUAAAAUGGAAACCGUUAAAGUUAAAUUGUUUCAAAAUAAGGAAGUACAACAUUCGUUUCUUAACCGACUAAAAAGGAAAGGAUGACAUAAAUUAAGACAAAAGGAGUAGUUUUCUUCACUACAAUAAUUCUCCAUAAGAGCCAAGGUCCUUGUAACCUAAGUAGCUCGGACUCUCAAAAAAUUUGGGGCUGCAACCAUGUCGGAUCCUUCAAAAAGGAACUACUUUUGAAGGAUCCGACAAGUACCCAAUGACAUUUUUCACGAGCCCGAGCAACAUAGCUUGUAACCAAGAGAAAAAAUAAAUUGCUCAGAAAAUCAUGUAAAGGCAUUUACAAUGAAUACCUUCUAGCCAAAUGGUAUGAGCAACUAACUUUCCUUUGUCCAAUCCACAGCAUCAACUCCUAGAAAUUUUGGAAAAACAAACCUAGCUAAAAGAAAAAACAUUUAAAAGACGAAGCACAAGGGCGAAAACGUAAUUGGACUUGAACACGUUAGGGAGUAAUGUCACGGUCAACGUCUAAAAAACCAAAAAAAAUCACUUAUAUUGUACUAGAUCAUACAACAAGAAAACUAGUCACGUAUGGCGUCCAUAUCUAAAGGCUAUGAAUUUUGAUAGUACUAAUCUGAAAUCCAAGAUCAUGCAUAAGCGACAUAGUUAAGGUUUCUAACCUCGGGAAAUUGAAGAAAGAAAGGCCACGAGCUGCUAGUCGACGGUCAAAGUAAAGUAUUCUCUGCAAGUGUCAACAUGAUCUUCUUGAACUUGAUACGACAAUGACCAACCGAAUAUGGCUAACCAGUUAUUAUAAUAAUAGGCCGUCAGCCAAAUCCUGGAGGCACUUCGGGAUCUUCAUCAUUAACAUCAUCUGGAUUCUUCUCUUUCGUGCCUAUAGCAAAGCCAGGUGGUGCACCCGCAUCCAUUUUGUCGGGCACUAAGUCAAGUGAGCUAUCGGUGUCCGACUUGGUAUAUGUUUCUCUUGUUUUUCCAUCAGUGGGAACAGGAAGUCCCGACUCCUCUUUGGACGAUUCAUUUUGUUCACUUU
rnacentral:lncRNA from 1 species